rnacentral:rRNA from 1 species
UACUUUUUAUAUAUAUAUAUAUUAGUAUUGCAUACUAUGUUAGGAUAUUUUCAAAGAUUUUGAUAAAUAGAAACAAAGUGUUUAAGGUGUGGUUUUUUUUUUUGUUACAAAAAUAAUUUUACUGCUCUUAGUGUUGAUACAUCGAACUUUGUGAUAUCUGUUUUUAAUUUUUAUAUUAGAAAAUUAUAUAUUGUUUUUUUUUUUUGUAGUUUUAAUAAUUUGAAGUUUUUUUGUUUCAAGUUUUAUAACUUUACUACUUUUCUUUUCUUUUUUUCUUUUUAAUUAUAAUUCUUUAUAGUUUUUAUUAUCUAGCAAUUAGUAAAUUAAUAAAUUAUGUUUUUUUUUUUAAUAUAAAUGAAUUACUAAUUAUCUGGUCAAAUGUUUAUUAAAGACUUAGGAUUUAUAUUAAAUCUGUUUUCUGCCCUAUGGUUUUUUUAAAUGGCAGUCUUAGCGUGAGGACAUUAAAGUAGCAAAAUAAUUUGUGCUUUUAUUGGGUUCGAGUAUGAAUGAAGUUUUGGCUGGUGAUAUUUUUUUUUUUUUUUGAAUUUAAUAUUCAUCUAAGAAGAGAUGUUUAUAAUAAAACAAAGAUAAGUCUUCGGAAAUUUUAUUUCUAUUAAAAAUUUUUUUUUUUAGUAAUUUAUCUAGGGAAGAUGAUUAUAUAAUUUUUUUUUACUAUUUUUAAUUUAAAAAAUUACUCCGGAGUUAACAGAAAAACAUGCCUUAUGUAGUUCUUAUAUUUUGGUAAGUUUUACAUCGAUGUUGUAUCUUUAUUAGCUGAAGAGGAGAAAUUUCAGUUUUUUAGACUGUUCUUCUUUUAAUAAAUAAAACGUGAUAUUAGUUUAAUUCAUCGUGAGAUAGAAUUGUUUAUCUUGUUUAUUAUUUUUUUUUAUCGGGAUUAGUACGAAAGGAAUUUCACUAUAAUUUUAAAUUUUUUAAU